GUUGUACGUGCCAUCAUGACAGUGCUGACUCUUCUUCUGCUGGCCGAUGAUGAGGGACCAGUAACCGAGGAAGGCCUGUACAGAGUUCCCACAAUAGGAGUGACCUACACAAGUUAUGAGUGGCCACCCUAAUUCAUGCAAAUCAUCUGAGGAUGCAGUGUAGCUGUCCUCCAGCUGGGCAACUGUGAGCAUGACAGCUGAGGGGCACAUGAUGGAGAUGGCCAAGACCCAAAUGACCACAAUGGUGUUGACCACCUGGAAAAGGCUGAGCUUGGAUUUGAACGGAUAUACGAUGCAGCGAAACCUGUUGAAUAAAAUACAAUAUGUGAUGGAUUGAUCCAGCCUCGCAAUCGCAGAAGUGCCCGCCAUCAUGCUUAUGGCUCUUCCCUCUUCAGACAAUCCAUGCUGUAAGCUUGAGUGGC